UGCUUGUUACGUUGUCUCAUAGGUGAGCAUCUUACUAGUUGGGUUCGUGUUCUUACCCAAGCUGAGUUUGGAUAUAACCUUUCCAAGAACCGAACCACCGGACUUUCUCCCUUUGAGGUCUGUUUGGGUUACCAGCCUAGGACACCCAUAUAUCUUGUCCUUGUCGUGUCUAACUGUAUGACUUCCCAGUCAGCCGAGUCUUUGCGCAGUACAUACAUGAUUUGUUUUCAGAGAUUGGACGCAAGAUAGCAUUGAGCAAUGAACAAUAUAAAUCCAGGGCAAAUGUAAAGCGAUGAAUGCAAGAAUUUCAAGAGGGUGAUAUGGUGAUGGCCAGGAUUAGACCUCAAUGUUUCGUCAUAGGAAAAUCGGGCAAGCUAAAUGCUCAGAGUGCAGAUCCUUUCAAAAUUCUUAAAAGGGUAGGUGCUAAUGGCUAUGUACUUGAGUUGCUAGCUGAUAUGGGGAUCAGCAGCAUUUUCAAUGUAGAGGAUCUUGUUCCCUACCAUGGCCCAUCUACUGCCGCCUCUUUCUAUCUAGAUGAACGUGAUGAUUUUCCUUUUGCCAUUGAUGACCUUGCUACUCAGACUACUCACUUCUUGAUACUUCUUUACCACUUAUACCCAAGUUUAACGCUAGAGCCGAAGAAGUUAAGGACAUCCUUGAUGAGAGAGUUGUUUCUACACGCACUGGAGGUUCCAGAGACUUCUUGGUCAAGUGGCGUGGAUGACC